GAGCAGAACAACAGUAAUGAACAAAACACUUUGGUUGCAAUAAUACUAUUAUAAAGGGAAAUGCUGCCCCUUAUCCAAACCUGGUCUUAAAUUGUAAGGUUCUGCUGAGACCACCUAGGGGUAUAGAGCAUUUUGUAUAGUGCCUUGUAUGAGGGUAGGUGAUGAGUAAGAAUUUACUGAAGGAGAAUAAAUCUGUGAGUGUUAAUGAUUCAAACCGUUUGAAGUUACUUUGUUAGAUGACAUUAGCUCAUUACUAGGAGAAAAUGCCCUUUAUUUCUGGGAUUCUUAAUAUGCGGUCCAUAAAUCGUUAUAAUUCUGCAGAUGAGUUUCAUGAAGCUCAAAAACUCCUUCACACCUGUGAAAUUGUGCAUAUAAUCAUUUUUAUAGGAAACAAGUUUAUAAUUUUUAUGAUUCUCAAAGGUAUCCUGUCCUCAUUCUCGCUUUAGCUGCCUGCCUUACAAUUUCAUUGUAAAGAUACUCUUUGGGCAUAAGAGGCAGACCAGAGGACAAGCAGAGGCCUUUAUUGAACCUCUGAAGUCCUGUUUGAAUUAGCAUCUGUCUCCUUACCUACAUCUAAGAGAGUUUCUAAAAUUUUUUUUACUUUAUUUUUGAGAGACAGAGGAAAAGCAUGAAUGCAGGAGGAGCAGAGAAAGGGAGACACAGAAUCAAGCAGGCUCCAGGCUCUGAGCUGUCAGCACAGAGCUCGGUGAGGGGCUCAAACCCACGAACUGUGAGAUCAUGACCUGAGCUGAAGUUGGAUGCUUAACUGACUGAGCCACCCAGGUGCCCCUAAGAGAGUUUCUUUAUGACAUAACAAGUACCAUGAUCAUAGUGCUAAAUGAAAGAAUAAUUUAUAUAGGCUGUCCUGUGCCAUUCUCUUGGUAUUUGUCCUUACCUCUAAGAUACUCUAAAAUCAUUGGAAAUGUCACUGCUGUAUCUCUGAAAAGUUUCUCCAAGUAUUUCUUCUUUUCACCACGUACAGAACUUGAGCUCAUGUGUCAGCCUCUCCAUAGAUAAAAUGGAAUGUAUUGGCUGGUUGCUCGUGAAUGAAUUAUCUCUUUAUGGCUAGAAUGAUUCCCCUCAGCAAAAGGUAUGCCGGGCUUAGGCGAAAGGCAGCGUCCUGUAAGACGGAGGCCAGGAGAAUGGGUGUUCAGUUCAGUGCAGCCUUGUCUCCCUCUCUCAGCACAGAAAAGGAGGAACUUAGUAUGACUUUGCCUUUUCUAUCAUAAGUGUUAACUUGAUGACUCAAAUAAUAGAAGCUUCUCUUUGAACCACUGAAGUUGUAACGUUAUGUUCUUUGCUGUUGAAGCAGACAAAACCAUCAAACGAUGUUCAUGUGAAACCAUCUUCCAAGUGUUGUCAUUGAGAAUCCACACUUUUCCCUCUCAUGCCCAUCAUUUCCUGUUUGUGCUUCUUACAAGGACUGGCAGAUGAAGCUUGCAGCACAGCGAAAAAGACUGUCCCUGUCAUCUCUGUUUCAAAAUCCAAUAGGAAGGAGUAUUUUUCUUGCUUUCUGUGUGUGUGUGUGUGUGUGUGUGUGUGUGUGUGUGUGUGUUUUCUUUCUUUCUCCCUGUCUUGUGGUUUGGCUUUUCAAAAAAAAAAAAAAAAGCUUGGUUUUUAACAGAUCCAAGAAGUUCAGAUGAGAUAUUCUUUCCUGUCAAACAGGAUCCCAAAACCUUUUGAGGUUUCUCAAGGACUUGUCUCCAUAAGCCGAAAAGUCUGUUCUCUUUCUUCACUGUUGCCAGAAAAGUAAUUAGGCCAUUUUUCUAAUUAUAGUAAUCUUCCCCAAAUGGCAUAUAACUUCAAAUCCAAAUGCCAUGUAAAUUGGCCAACAACACUCUGCCGUGAAGCACUUUAACAAGACAGUUUGAAUGUAGGAGUUUCACUUUGUGUGAAGCAAAAUGUGUUCUCUGUCCCAGUUACAACCAGGUUUUCAUUCUCAGUGUCCUGCCCACGAGGUUCCACUAUUUUAGUGCAAAGAGCAUGGAUGGUAAUUGCUCCUGUCACUGGCAUUUUGUGAGGAGUUGUGUCUGUGUUGGAUAAGUUAACGUCCUUUUGGAAAAAAUGUUUAUCCACAGAAAAAUUGAACAAGAUUAAAUUGCACUCAUGUUGUUAUAGCGACUAAAAAUCUCUAGAUAGUUAAGAGUGAAGUUCCCUGUGUCACAGAACACAGAACUAGAUUUUUCUCCCUCUAAGAAUAAUCCUCUUGUCUUUGGUCUCUAUUAUGCUAACCAAGGGGAAAUUAGGUCCUGCUGGUAAAUUUGCGGUCCCAAAUAUGUUCACAGUAGAUUAAUUGCUACCUUCUCUUGCUCCAUUUGUAAACAAAACAAAACAAAAUACAACAACAACAACAAACACUUUUCCAAAUAAUAUAUCUUGUAGAUAUUUGAUUUUUCAUUGUCUACCCACCCUCCUGUGUGUGGACUGGGAUAAGGGCACUAUGGUGAAGUCUCUAGAAAAUGGAACCGGGCACUGAAAAUGAGGAGUAAAUAAGGGCGGAUUUCUCCAGGAAAUGAUGGAGUUAUGCUGAUUGAAAAAGGAAGAAUAAAAUUGGAUAGGAAUUUAAGAACGUAAAAAUGGAGUGAGCAUUUAAGGGUACAACAAGGUACAAAGUACAACAGGUUCCUGAAUUACGUGUGGAUGAUGCUUUGCGACACUAACCAAAACUACUUUAUUUCCACAGAAGUGCGAUUCAGCCAUCAAAACUUGGGUAUAAGGAGAAGAGAAUGUGCCAAGUGGGUAUUCCCAAGUGUUAGAUUGGAUUGGAUUUUAAUUUACUAGUGGUUCCAUUGUGUUUGCAAAAAGUACAAAUUCCUGAAUUAUUAUCUCAGAAAUUAUAUUUCAUAGGUCUGAGGUAAGGCUUUGGAAUCUGCAUUUUAGCAAGCUUCCUGGGUGGUUCUGAUGAAGUGGUUCUUAGCACUACAAUUAGUUGCUUAUUAGCUAACACUAUUAGCUAUCAUGCAUAUUAUUUAUUAGACUAUUGGUUGGUUAUUAGCCAACACUAUUGCUCUGAGAAUUUUAAGGGACAUAGGCUGGCAGAUAGCCCAGAACACUGACAGCACAAUUUGGAGCCAGUACUACUAAGGGAAUUCAAAUAAGUGAAAAAUACCUUGUAGGCAAGAAAAGUGUGGAAUGAAUUAGAAAGUUUUCAUUUUUUUUCCCAAAGCUAUUCAAAGGGUGGAAUAAUGACCUGCUAAAGUGGAAAUUAGGUUGUGAAAGCCACGGCAUGGAUUAUUUUAAGGGGAUGGUUAUUGGGGUGCCUGGGUGGCUCAGUCAGUUAAGUGUCCAACUUUGGCUCAUGUCAUGAUCUCACAGUUCUUGGGUUCAAGCCCCGUGUUGGGCUCUGUGCUGACAGCUCAGAGCCUGGAGUCUGCUGUGUCUCCCUCUCUCUCUGCCCUUCUCCCACUCACACUUUGUCUCUCAAAAAUAAAUAAACAUUAAAAAAAUAAAUAAAGGGGAGACGGUCAUUUAGAUUUUGAGUAGAUAAUAUAAUGAAAGAAUGUGGAACUACAAAUGUCCUUUAGGGGAUGGGAUACAAAAAUGUACAUUUAAGAAAAAGAUAGGAAAGGCCUUAAGCCUUAUUGUACAGGGAUGCCGGAAAAAUAUUAGCAUCAGUACUUGCCAUUUCCAAAAGUAAGGACUUUUUUUUGAAAAUAAAAUUUCUGUUACUUAUUUCUGUGCCACAUCACCACACACUAUACAUACAUCUUAGGCCAUUGUUUGAAUUCCCGUGUGUGUUCUUUGUGACUUCCAGAUAACCUCUCUUCUGGAUUAUUUACCGGGAAUGCCUUAAAAAGCCAAACAGGACAAGGAUGCUCUUGUCAGUGAACCAAGGAGUCUCAAUUGUUUGAUUGCUUAGAGUGAAAACGCUGGGGGGUGGGGGGCACGGAAUCUUGAAUUUAUUUAAAUUUGAAAUAUGCUUUGGCAUAAAAUAACUGCUCGACAAA